UACGGGGGGGGCAAGCGUUGUUCGGAAUUACUGGGCGUAAAGGGCGUGUAGGCGGCCAACUAAGUCCGACGUGAAAUCCCCAGGCUUAACCUGGGAACUGCGUCGGAUACUGGAUGGCUUGAAUCCGGGAGAGGGAUGCGGAAUUCCAGGUGUAGCGGUGAAAUGCGUAGAUAUCUGGAGGAACACCGGUGGCGAAGGCGGCAUCCUGGACCGGCAUUGACGCUGAACGGCGAAAGCUAGGGAGCAACGGG
rnacentral:rRNA from 1 species